rnacentral:rRNA from 1 species
UACAGAGGGGGCAAGCGUUGUCCGGAAUUACUGGGCGUAAAGAGCUCGUAGGUGGUUUGUCGCGUUGUUCGUGAAAACUCACAGCUCAACUGUGGGCGUGCGGGCGAUACGGGCAGACUGGAGUACUGCAGGGGAGACUGGAAUUCCUGGUGUAGCGGUGAAAUGCGUAGAUAUCGGGAGGAACACCAGAGGCGAAAAGCGGCUUUCUGGGCUGUAACUGACGCUGAGGCGCGAAGGCUAGGGGAGCAAACAGGG